rnacentral:rRNA from 1 species
AGCAGCCGCGGUAAUUCCAGCUCCAAUAGCGUAUAUUAAAGUUGUUGCAGUUAAAAAGCUCGUAGUUGAAUUUCGGGGUCAGUAGGUUGGUCGUGCCACCGGUACGUACUGGUCUCACUGAUUCCUCCUUCCUGAUGAGCUGUAAUGCCAUUAAUUUGGUGUUGCAGGGAAUCAGGACUGUUACUUUGAAAAAAUUAGAGUGUUUAAAGCAGGCUAACGCUUGAAUACAUUAGCAUGGAAUAAUGAAAUAGGACGUUCGAUCCUAUUUUGUUGGUUUCUAGGAUUGACGUAAUGAUUAAUAGGGAUAGUUGGGGGCAUUAGUAUUCAAAUGUCAGAGGUGAAAUUCUUGGAUUUAUUGAAGACUAACUACUGCGAAAGCAUUUGCCAAGGAUGUUUUCAUUAAUCAAGAACGAAAGUUAGGGUUCGAAGACGAUCAGAUACCGUCGUAGUCUUAACCAUAAACUAGCCGACUAGGGAUCGGAUGAUGU